rnacentral:tRNA from 1 species
GGGGUUGUAGCUCAGUGGUAGAGUGCUUUCUUAGCAUGGGUGAGACCCUGGGUUCAAUUCUCAGCACCA